rnacentral:rRNA from 1 species
UACAGAGGGUGCGAGCGUUGUCCGGAAUCACUGGGCGUAAAGGGCGCGUAGGUGGUGGCUUAAGCGUGCGGUGAAAGCUCGGAGCUCAACUCCGAGUCGGCCGUGCGAACUGGGCUCACUGGAGCAUAGUAGAGGCAGGUGGAAUUCCGGGUGUAGCGGUGGAAUGCGUAGAGAUCCGGAAGAACACCGGUGGCGAAGGCGGCCCGCUGGGCUAUGGCUGACACUGAGGCGCGACAGCGUGGGGAGCAAACAGG